rnacentral:rRNA from 1 species
GACGUAGGGUGCGAGCGUUGUCCGGAUUUAUUGGGCGUAAAGAGCUCGUAGGCGGUUUGUCGCGUCCGCUGUGAAAAUCCAGGGCUUAACCCUGGACCUGCAGUGGGUACGGGCAGACUAGAGUGCGGUAGGGGAGAUCGGAAUUCCUGGUGUAGCGGUGAAAUGCGCAGAUAUCAGGAGGAACACCGGUGGCGAAGGCGGAUCUCUGGGCCGUAACUGACGCUGAGGAGCGAAAGCAUGGGGAGCGAACAGG